rnacentral:rRNA from 1 species
CUUACCGGGUCCGGACACACUGAGGAUUGACAGGUAUUAUAUAGCGCGCUUGCGCGUCUAUUGUUAAAUAUGCUAGUCCUUUCAUGAUUAUGUGAUAGGUGGUGCAUGGCCGUUCUUAGUUCGUGGAGUGAUCUGUCUGCUUAAUUGCGUUUCAGAUAAGGAUCUAUAUUCUUUACAGAAGUGUUGCGUUGUGCAUUUGACCCCUC